AUGAAACACUCCUACGGGAGGCAGCAGUGGGGAAUAUUGCACAAUGGGCGGAGGCCUGAUGCAGCAACGCCGCGUGCGGGAUGACGGCCUUCGGGUUGUAAACCGCUUUCGCCUGUGACGAAGCGUGAGUGACGGUAAUGGGUAAAGAAGCACCGGCUAACUACGUGCCAGCAGCCGCGGUGAUACGUAGGGUGCGAGCGUUGUCCGGAUUUAUUGGGCGUAAAGGGCUCGUAUGUGGUUGAUCGCGUCGGAAGUGUAAUCUUGGGGCUUAACCCUGAGCGUGCUUUCGAUACGGGUUGACUUGAGGAAGGUAGGGGAGAAUGGAAUUCCUGGUGGAGCGGUGGAAUGCGCAGAUAUCAGGAGGAACACCAGUGGCGAAGGCGGUUCUCUGGGCCUUUCCUGACGCUGAGGAGCGAAAGCGUGGGGAGCGAACAGGAUUAGAAACCCUGGUAGUCCGAAGUUC
rnacentral:rRNA from 1 species